UACAGAGGGUGCGAGCGUUAAUCGGAAUUACUGGGCGUAAAGCGCGCGUAGGGCGGCUUUGCAAGUCGGGAUGUGAAAUCCCCAGGCUUAACCUGGGAACUGCAUUCGAGACUGCAUUGCUAGAGUAUGGGAGAGGGAAGUGGAAUUUCCGGUGUAGCGGUGAAAUGCGUAGAUAUCGGAAGGAACAUCAGUGGCGAAAGCGACUUCCUGGACCAAUACUGACGCUCAUGUGCGAAAGCGUGGGGAGCAAACAGG
rnacentral:rRNA from 1 species